rnacentral:rRNA from 1 species
AUUGAACGCUGGCGGCAGGCCUAACACAUGCAAGUCGAACGAGUGGCGGACGGGUGAGUAAUGUCUGGGAAACUGCCCGAUGGAGGGGGAUAACUAAUGGAAACGGUAGCUAAUACCGCAUACCAUCGGAUGUGCCCAGAUGGGAUUAGCUAGUGGGUGGGGUAACGGCUCACCGAGGCGACGAUCCCUAGCUGGGCUGAGAGGAUGACCAGCCACACUGGAACUGAGACACGGUCCAGACUCCUACGGGAGGCAGCAGUGGGGAAUAUUGCACAAUGGGCGAAAGCCUGACGCAGCCAUGCCGCGUGUAUGAAGAAGGCUUUCGGGUUGUAAAGUUCUUUCAGCGGGGAGGCGUUACUCGACGAAGAAGCACCGGCUAACUCCGUGCCAGCAGCCGCGGUAAUUC